GUCCCUGUAGCGCAAUGGAUAGCACGUUGGACUCCUGAUCCAAAGGUUGUGGGCUCGAUUCCUACCUGGGAUG